GUAGGUGGCAAGCGUUGUCCGGAAUUAUUGGGCGUAAAGCGCGCGCAGGUGGUUCUUUAAGUCUGAUGUGAAAGCCCCCGGGCUCAACCGGGGAGGGUCAUUGGAAACUGGGGAACUUGAGUGCAGGAGAGGAAAGUGGAAUUCCACGUGUAGCGGUGAAAUGCGUAGAUAUGUGGAGGAACACCAGUGGCGAAGGCGACUUUCUGGCCUGUAACUGACACUGAGGCGCGAAAGCGUGGGGAGCAAACAGGAUUAGAUACCCUGGUAGUCCACGCCGUAAACGAUGAGUGCUAAGUGUUGGGGGGGUUUCCGCCCCUCAGUGCUGCAGCUAACGCAUUAAGCACUCCGCCUGGGGAGUACGGUCGCAAAGACUG
rnacentral:rRNA from 1 species